rnacentral:lncRNA from 1 species
CCUUUCUCGCCUUGACUACUGUAAUCCGCUUUUCAGUGGUCUUACGUGCUCCCAACUUGGGCCGUUACAGUCCAUAAUGAAUGCGGCAGCGAGGCUCAUCUUCCUGUCCGCCCGCACCUCCCAUGCCUCACCCUUCUGUCAGUCCCUACAUUGGCUUCCUAUAAAAUAUAGAGCUCAAUUUAAAAUUCUGGUUCUUGCUUUCAAAUCUCUACAUAAUGCUGCUCCCACCUAUCUAUCCUCCCUUAUACACAAGUAUGUCCCGUCUAGGCCCUUACGAUCUGCU